CUUUCUUCGUCGUCUCUCUCUAUCCACACCAGAUAAACAAAGCUCUCUCCAUCUCAAUCCUCUCGAAUUCGCUUCUCUUCGAAACCCUAGUUCGUUGUAGCUCGUCUGAUUCGAUUCUGGGAGCCGAGCUAUGGAUCGGAUCGUAGGCGGGAAGUACAAGCUAGGGCGCAAGAUCGGGAGCGGGUCGUUUGGCGAGAUCUUUCUCGCUACGCAUGUGGAUACGUUCGAGAUCGUCGCUGUGAAGAUUGAAAACAGUAAGACGAAGCACCCUCAAUUGCUUUAUGAGGCCAAGCUUUAUAAUGUCCUCCAGGGCGGAAGUGGUAUUGCCAAUAUAAAAUGGUGUGGUGUUGAUGGAGAAGACAAUGUUCUUGUUCUUGACUUGCUUGGACCAAGCUUGGAGGAUCUGUUUGUCUACUGUGGAAGGAAAUUCUCACUGAAGACAGUCCUAAUGCUUGCUGAUCAGAUGAUUACGAGGAUAGAAUAUGUGCACUCAAAAGGUUACUUGCAUAGAGAUAUUAAGCCUGACAACUUUCUAAUGGGUCUUGGUCGAAAAGCAAAUCAGGUCUACAUAAUUGAUUUCGGCCUUGCAAAAAGAUACAGAGAUUCCACUACCAAUCGCCACAUUCCAUACAGAGAGAACAAAAAUUUGACGGGGACUGCUCGUUAUGCAAGUUGUAACACACACCUUGGUGUUGAGCAAAGCCGUCGUGAUGAUUUGGAAUCUCUUGGAUAUGUUCUUCUUUACUUCUUGAGAGGAAGUCUCCCAUGGCAGGGUCUGAAAGCUGCUACAAAGAAGCAAAAGUACGAUAAGAUAUGUGAGAAGAAGCUAUCAACUCCUAUUGAAGCUCUUUGCAAAUCCCAUCCUGUGGAAUUUGCAUCAUACUUCCAUUAUUGCCAUUCUUUAACAUUUGAUCAACGACCUGAUUAUGGUUUUCUGAAGCGACUGUUCCGCGACCUGUUUGCUCGUGAAGGAUAUGAUUUUGAUUAUAUUUUCGAUUGGACCAUUUUGAAAUAUCAACAAGCUCAAAAGACAAAACCUCAGCCUCAGUUACAACCACGAUUCUCGCCAGUUCCAGGAGGAAUGAAUAGCCGCGCGAUUCCAAUGGAUGUUGACAAGCAUCAAGGUACAAAUGAUGCAUCCUAUCCGGCGGAAGCUGGACCAAGUAAUGUGGGGCGCCCUGCUGUUCGCAUGCAGUUCAAAACCCCAUCUGACAGGAAUUUGAAUUCUGAUGGACGUGCUGACAAAAUUAUGGCUAGCACAAACAUUGACAAGAUGCCAUCAACAUCAUUUGCUCUUCCAAGUGCUCCAAAGAAAAAUAUUGGAAGCUCUAAACAGUUGCGACCACCUGAUUCGUCACACCACAGCAAUGGUCUAGGAAGUAACUAUGGUUCAUCCAGCAGUUGGAUUCCUACAUUACAACGCAAUGCUUCAGCCAAAUGACUGCUGCCUGCCUACCUACCUUUUGGUUCUUCAGAUAUGCAUAAUGGGGAGAUCCAAUGUGCAAGAUCCUUAUUGUUGCAAAGUUGAACAAAGUAAUCACUGCUGAUUCACUUUCUACAUAUCAGGAUGCCUACUGUAUUUUAUUAAGGGAUCUGGGCUCUUGUAUAUUUUUUGUUGCUGUAUCCUUUGGUUCAAAGCCAUGGAUGGUCAUCUGGAUCAGUUUUAAGCAUUAGAACCCAAGUCCUUCAGGAUCUGAAUAGAACUCAAUAAUCUAGUUUUCAGGUGCUUGUCAUCUGUGCUUCUGUUUAUGGGGCUUCUGGUUCUGGUGCAGCUUUACUAAUGUGAUGCUGUGAUGGAUGGAAAGUUAGAGGUAUGUACAUAGACCCAAUAUACAAGUCACAGACAUGAAUUUUGUAAAUAUAUUGUAGGAAGCAUCUCGGGUGUGCUUCAAGAUCAAUUGACUUACUGCCUGAUUCUUGUUCAUGUUUUUCAAGAUCAAUUGACUUGCUUCACCUUGUGGUAAUUUAGUGUUGCCUUUUGUUAAAAUCCUAGAAGUGACCAACAGAAGUCUGGAGAAUCAGAAACUAUAAUCAAAGUAUGGUUGUGUUAAUGAUAUGCCUUUGUCCUUG